CCUGGGCAGUCAGAUGGAGCCGCAGCGCUACCUGCGCUCCUCCGACAUGCCUCAGAACUGCCAGAGAACCACAGCAUGUUAGCGGUUGGAAGGGACCCCGAAAGAACAGCGAGGUGCAGCCCCAUUGCCAGAGCAGGAUAACCCAGAGGAACACAUCCAGCCCAGCAGCAGGCCACAAGCACACUCUGACCAAGGCCAUGCCCUGGGAAACCACAUCAUCAGCUGACAGGUAUUAUUACUGCAGGGAGAGCUUUGUUUAGCUGUGCACCUUCAUCAUGACCAGCACCCGUGGUGAGCUUCAAAUCUUGGACUAUGCUGUGGCUGCCAUGCAAGCUACAGUAUCUCCAAACUGCUUUGAUGCCAGGAGCUUCUGAUUAUUCAGGUAAGAACUGACAUCCUCUGCCUCAU